rnacentral:misc_RNA from 1 species
AAAAUGCGAUAAGUAAUGUGAAUUGCAGAAUUCAGUGAAUCAUCGAAUCUUUGAACGCACAUUGCGCCCGCCAGUAUUCUGGCGGGCAUGCCUGUUCGAGCGUCAUUUCAACCCUCAAGCCCCCCGGGUUUGGUGUUGGGGAUCGGGCUGCGGUUCUGCCGCGUCCCGGCCCCGAAAUCUAGUGGCGGUCUCGCUGCAGCCUCCAUUGCGUAGUAGCUAACACCUCGCAACUGGAACGCGGCGCGGCCAAGCCGUUAAACCCCUCAACUUCUGAAUGUUGACCUCGGAUCAGGUAGGAAUACCCGCUGAACUUAAGC